UUGUCCCAGCCCGCCGUUUAUUGGAUGGAUGGUGCCGGCCGCGCUAGACCCGUCGCCAUCUUUACCAAAGGUCCAAUAGCAAUCUUUGGAUUUAUAAGAUCUUUGAUCUUUAUUACGGGACCGGAGCGAAAAUGGUGGCGUACUGGAGACAGGCUGGGCUGAGUUACAUUCGUUAUUCUCGGAUUUGUGCAAUGGCUCUGCGGGCUGCACUGAAACCACAGUUCCAAGCAGAGGCCAAGAAAGUAGGAGAUGUAACUGUAAAACUCAACAAACCAAAAUAGUAAUGUGAUUUGAGGAACCUCCAUAACCUGAACAUUUGAAGAUGAGAACUUGUUCAACCUAUCAUCCCAAUAGUUGGAACUUUUAACCCAUUCGAAGACUGCAAAACAGACCAAAUGUUGAUUCAAAAUACAGAGAUUAUUUAAAUAUACAUACUUUACUGGAUAAUGGAGUUUUUUCUUGUAUUGAGCAAGCUAGCACAUCUGUAGGGGGUUAUUGUUUGUUUAAAAUCUGAUGUUAUUUGUCCCUCAGUAUUCCACACUCUAAACUCUUGGUGCAUAGUUGAGGACGCCAUCCACUUUAUCUGUUGCAAUAUUGGCAAGGACUAUUCAAAUUGGGACAAUGGGAAAUAUUGUUCCUCACCUCCCAAAAAAUAUAAUCGUUAAGGGAAGGGUGGGUGGUGGUGCAUGAAGGAAUUAUGUACAUAGUUCAUUAAAAAACUCAGAAAAUCAAAGAUUACAAGACUGUUGAUCCAUAACUCGGUUGUCAUUAGUACAUCUAGAGUUGCUGAUUUUGAUUAGUGCAUUCAUGGUUCAUGUGUUGUUGAAGGUGAAGUUUGCAAUUGACAUUGCUUCUUGGAUCAGUCGGUGGACAGGCAAACACAAAAACUUCUAGGUUAUAUUUUUAAUUAAAAGGCAAACAUCCAAUAGCAUUUGGUAUAUAGUUUCGAAGUCUUGCAUCAUCUCAUUCAGUGCCGAGUCUGAAUCCGUACAGGAGCAGGAGCUGCCUCUUGUUGCUGUUCUACUCGGUCUAUUAACGUAGUAGAAAGAUUCCCUGUGGCUACACUUCUGUUAAACUAGCAGUUAAAAAACAAGCUAAUGUUUUAUCGUGGCCUGGUCAGAAGGAAACCUUCCAUCAUGCUUAAAUGGAGACUGGGUGUUGUUUAAUAAAUGCAAUAAGAGUGGUUGGUGUUAAAGGUGGAUUUAAAACCUAAAAUCCUGGUAUCUCAAGGCAAUACACAUUAUUGUUCAAUAUCAAGGAAAGGGCACCAAAUUUAA